AUGGGGAUGGGCUCGUGCUGUGUCUGGGUCUUAAGCUGUGUUGGGCCCAGACGUCUUCAAAAAGCUGAUGAGAGCUAUGGAUCCUCACCCCAGAAAGAUACCCCACAUGCAUUUUUACACAUUAUUUCAGGCACUCCACAGGCACCCCCCCCCCCUCAAACUGGGCUCCGUGGACUUCACGCUGAGCACUCCUGAUGCAACGGUGGUCAUGCUCGAAGGCGAUGCUGGCUUCCCACCAUGAGUCAGCUGCCCAGGAUGGGCGGCCAUUGAUUCCAGGCAGAGGAGCUGGGCUUCUUCCCUCUGACGGCACAGGGAUGGCCGGCUGCUGCAGACCCGCUGUUGGGGCCUCGGGAUGUUUUUGGCCAGGAAGGUGAGAAAAGGCUGACUCGCCCUUCAAGCCCAGCAUAAAUCAGCUCCUGCGGGAAGCCCGCCCCAGCCCUGCGCUGCUUGGAGACCCCUCCCUCCUCCACACCGCUGCAGCCACUUACCUUGGCUGGCUCUUCCUCAUCCUUCAAGCCCAGCUGGACAUCCCUCACCCCCUCUGCCACAUCAGCUCCUGUUAAAGGCCCCCAGUCCCCCUCGCAUGGUGUUACUUGCUCCCCAUCUCCCUCCCCCAGCAGCUUGUAUGCUCCACAACUCAUGGGCUGCCUGUCUUAUUCAUCCCAGUAUCCCCCAGCAUCUAGUGCUGCUCCUGGCACCAGCAGGUACUAAUAUGUGUCUGCUGAAUGACCACCUGUUAGUAUUUAAUCAAAUGCUGUCACGCACUAUUUAAGUUCCUUGAGGGCAAAGGCCAUGUCUCCCUUGGACGCGUGACCACAUAACCCUCUUGUUUCUACAUGUGUGUGACCUGAUCUAACGCUGAGGUUCCUGUGUGACACAGAGUUAUGGUAUUAGGGAUGGGCCUCUUGCAUUUCAUCAUAAAGGCGUCAAGAUGCCUUGAAGAGGCUCCUGCCUGAUGGGCUGAGACUCGAUGCCCUCUAAGGGGAGACACGAGGGACUUCCCUGGCGGUCCAGUGGUUUGGACUCGGUGCUAUCACUGGCAUAGACCCGGGUUCAAUCCCUGGUCGGGGAACUAAGAUCCCGCAAGGCAUUCGGUGCGGCCAAAAAAAGAUAAUAAGGGGAGACACAAGGAGCUGGGCAGUGAUGGUACCAGGUGUGGCCCAUCUGGUCCUUACAGGACGAGGCAUGGGGGCCUCGGGCAGCCCUCGUAUCAUCAGGUCAGGUCCACUGCCCCCUGUGCCACCUGGAGCUGCCAGUGCCAGGCAGCCCAGCGACCUGCACUCCACAUUUGCUCCUCUUCUGAUCUCCUUCCAUCCUCAGCACCCUGCUUGGGCUCUCCAGCCUGUUCCUGUGCUACUGGGGCCACUGGAAAUGUUUCUGCCAAACGUGGAUCACACAACGAGAAGGAACAGCACCGCUGGGGGCCAGGGUGGCAGAAGCCAGUCAGGACCAACCUGUUCACUGUCCCACCCACCUGGAGAGCCCUCCCUCAGGAGAAAGCCUUAUGGUUCUAGGGGUUUUUUUAAAUUAAUUAAUUAAUUAAUUAAGUUUUUUUGG